rnacentral:lncRNA from 1 species
GGAUUCUGUAUGGCCUCGCAAUGGAAAUCUUUCAUCUUGCUUGUCAUAGUGAAUGAAAUAUUACAGGAUUCUUGGUUCCUUGAAAAGGCUAUGGACCAAGUGGCUUGAGCAUUGAUGAGUGUCCCAGUCUGUCCAAGCCACUACUAUUGUCACAAUCUCUCGAUGAACUCGGACAAGUUGUCCCAGAAUAAUUGAAGUAUUCUAAUUAUCUGUAAGUUCUUUGGUGAACUCAUCUGAUCUCCAUGAGUUGGUUAAUUAUUGUAGCAAAGUGUCAUCUGCUCUUUCUGGACCAAAACAAACUUGCUUUUGCUCGUACCCAUUCUAUACUUGCCUCGAUGCGAGGUAGUAGAGUUAGAUGGAGCGAGUUGGACAGAUUGGAUUACAUUAUAUUAUUAAAAUUAUUUUUUGCAUAUAAAUAUUUUUUUUCUCUUUCGAAGAAGAAGAAAUUUGUGAAGAGUUAUAUUUUUACAAAUGGGAUCCACUGCGGAUUAGGUAAAACCCGUACCAUCUCGGAUCCACUGCAGGUUAGUUUAAACCCAUCCUAUUAGGUUUGAGUUGGACAAGGUAUCCUAUGAGGCGGAGUAAACUGCUACAUCUAUUUCUAGGAAUGGGUUAGAGUUGGAUGAAAGCUCAAUGUUGAAGGC